GUGUAGACACUUGCUGUAUGUCAACGCUUUACGGGAGUUAUUGCACCUAAGCCUCAGAACAACUUUAUGAGAAGAUUUCCCAGAGGUGGGAAUACCAGUUCCCACAGGUAGGAUGCAGACUUACAAGUGGAUUUUCCAGUAGGAUCUU